rnacentral:rRNA from 1 species
GACGAACGCUGGCGGCGUGCUUAACACAUGCAAGUCGAACGGAAAGGCCCUGCUUUUGUGGGGUGCUCGAGUGGCGAACGGGUGAGUAACACGUGAGUAACCUGCCCUUGACUUUGGGAUAACUUCAGGAAACUGGGGCUAAUACCGGAUAGGAGCUCCUGCUGCAUGGUGGGGGUUGGAAAGUUUCGGCGGUUGGGGAUGGACUCGCGGCUUAUCAGCUUGUUGGUGGGGUAGUGGCUUACCAAGGCUUUGACGGGUAGCCGGCCUGAGAGGGUGACCGGCCGCAUUGGGACUGAGAUACGGCGCAGACUGCUACGGGAGGCAGCAGUGGGGAAUAUUGCACCAUGGGCGGAAGCCUGAUGCAGCAACGCCGCGUGCGGGAUGACGGCCUUCGGGUUGUGAACCGCUUUCGGCUGUGACGAAGCGUGAGUGACGGUAAUGGGUAAAGAAGCACCGGCUAACUACGUG